rnacentral:rRNA from 1 species
UCAAAGCUAGCCUAUAUACCAAUUUAACUAGACCUUAUAAAUCUAAUCUAUAUUAUAAUUUUUAAUCAAAACAUUCUCAACCUUUUAGUAUGGGUGACAGAACAAUAACCCCAGCGCAAUAGCUUAUGUACCGCAAGGGAAAGCUGAAAAAGAAAUGAAACAAACCAUUAAAGUACUAAAAAGCAGAGAUCAUACCUCGUACCUUUUGCAUCAUGAUUUAGCUAGAAAAACUAGGCAAAAAGACCUUAAGUCUAUCUCCCCGAAACUAAACGAGCUACUCCGAAGCAGCAUUAUAGAGCUAACCCGUCUCUGUGGCAAAAGAGUGGGAAGACUUCCAGUAGCGGUGAAAAGCCUACCGAGUUUAGUGAUAGCUGGUUACCCAAGAAAAGAACUUUAGUUCUGCAUUAAUUUUUCACUAUCUAGACAAGACUUACUCGUCAAAGAAAUCUAUAAGAAUUAAUAGUUAUUUAGAAGAGGUACAACCCUUCUAAACCAAGACACAACUUUUUAAGGUGGGAAAUGAUCAUAAUUAUUAAGGUUACCAUCUCAGUGGGCCUAAAAGCAGCCACCUGUCAAGUAAGCGUCGCAGCUCUAAUUAAUAAUCAAACCUUUAAUCCAGAUAUUUACUCACAACCCCCUUUAUCCUAUUGGGUUAUUUUAUAUUUAUAUAAAAGAACUUAUGCUAAAAUGAGUAAUAAAGAGAAUAAAUCUCUCCCGACACAAGUGUACGUCAGAAAGAAUUAAAUCACUGAUAAUUAAACGACCCCAAACUGAGGCCAUUAUAUCACUUAACCAUCAACUAGAAAACCCUAUUCUCCUACUCGUUAUCCCUACACAGGAGUGUCAUCAGGAAAGA